CACGUAGGGCGCAAGCGUUGUCCGGAAUUAUUGGGCGUAAAGAGCUCGUAGGCGGUCUGUUGCGUCCGCUGUGAAAACUCGGGGCUUAACCCCGAGCCUGCAGUGGAUACGGGCAGACUAGAGGUAGGUAGGGGAGAAUGGAAUUCCCGGUGUAGCGGUGAAAUGCGUAGAUAUUGGGAGGAACACCGGUGGCGAAGGCGGCCCCCUGGACCGGUACUGACGCUGAUGCGCGAAAGCGUGGGUAGCAAACGGG
rnacentral:rRNA from 1 species